UACAGAGGUCUCAAGCGUUGUUCGGAUUCAUUGGGCGUAAAGGGCGCGUAGGCGGGAUGGCCAGUCGGUCGUGAAAUCCUUCGGCCCAACCGAAGAACGUCGGCCGAUACUGCCAUUCUUGAGGGAUGCAGAGGAGACUGGAAUUCCCGGUGUAGCGGUGAAAUGUGUAGAGAUCGGGAGGAACACCGGUGGCGAAGGCGGGUCUCUGGGCAUUUCCUGGACGCUGAGGCGCGAAAGCGUGGGGAGCGAACAGG
rnacentral:rRNA from 1 species